rnacentral:rRNA from 1 species
GACGAACGCUGGCGGCGUGCUUAACACAUGCAAGUCGAACGGAAAGGCCCUGCUUUUGUGGGGUGCCCGAGUGGCGAACGGGUGAGUAACACGUGAGUAACCUGCCCUUGACUUUGGGAUAACUUCAGGAAACUGGGGCUAAUACCGGAUAGGAGCUCCUGCUGCAUGGUGGGGGUUGGAAAGUUUCGGCGGUUGGGGAUGGACUCGCGGCUUAUCAGCUUGUUGGUGGGGUAGUGGCUUACCAAGGCUUUGACGGGUAGCCGGCCUGAGAGGGUGACCGGCCACAUUGGGACUGAGAUACGGCCCAGACUCCUACGGGAGGCAGCAGUGGGGAAUAUUGCACAAUGGGCGGAAGCCUGAUGCAGCAACGCCGCGUGCGGGAUGACGGCCUUCGGGUUGUAAACCGCUUUCGCCUGUGACGAAGCGUGAGUGACGGUAAUGGGUAAAGAAGCGCCGGCUAACUACGUG